AUUUGGUUAUAUUUUUAGUAUAAAGACAAUAACAUGGUAGAAAGACUGAUGGUACCCAUGGAGUGUGUGUUUUUUAUUACUGUCAAAAGAUUUCAGGUAGAGGGCAUGUUUAAUUAGAUCCUCAUUUCUCAAAUUCCCCUUUAAUGUUUUCCUUCUAUCACAUUACAAUACUUAUCAAACACAACUUAGCAUUGCAAGAUUGGAUCUCUGGCCACUGAUCCUUCUUUCCAGGUGUUAGCAGACCACUAUAUUAUCUCUUUACUGUCUACAUAACUCCCUAGAUAAACAAAUUUUCUGGACAAACAUCACGCUACCUUCUGGAUAACUAUUAUGUGAUGUUCUUUACUGCUCAAAUGUCUAUACUACAAUUUUAUGCACAAAAAUUUAAUAAUAUCUGGGUGUCUUAGAACUGGCUAUUAUUAGACAGAAAUAAAUUUUGUGAGUGGAUAUUUUUAGUGUUGACAGAUGUAGAGUGCAGCAUUAUUAAAUUUCUUCAGUUGCCCUCUGUGUCUCAGGAAUGUGCCAAACUCAGUACAGCUUUUAAUUGCUUCAUUCUCUACUCAGUAAUUUUCCUUCUGUUAUUAGCACGGGCUGCUCAGCAAUCACUCAGAGCCAAGACAUUUGUCAGAGAUUUCCUUUGUGUAGUGUUUGUGUUCUGCCUCUCAGCACUCUGUAACAGUUCUGCACAUGAAUUUCUGCUCUACACUGUAACUGGCUCCAACUGGCACUUGCAAGAACUUGGAGAAAAUAUAUUUCUUUAUGAAGCAGGUCUUACAGCUAUAACUGGGCCAUAUUUCUUACAUGGUUGUGCAAAAAGAGCUGGAAAGAUUUGGAAGAUCUGUUAACACACGGCAGACAUAUGAUUUUCUCCACGAUUGUGGGGAGGAACGCAGGAAGGGGAAUACCAGCAUCAAGUACCUGAAGGCUGCCCUGGGUUGGAGAAUCCUGGCCUGAACAGUUUUAUCCAAUCUACAGAUUUUAUGAUGUCUCAUCUUGAACCAACUGCCUUGGGAUACUACUGCUCUAACAAUGCUCAGUGUAGAAAACUAUCUCACCUGUUGGAAAAGGUCCUACAGGAACUCCAGACGUCCUCCUGAACACUGUUCCAGUUGAGUGGAAACCUGCGCCAUGACUGGCUUCAUUCCAGCUGUGAAAGGUGUCUGCCAUGGUGGAAAGGUUUGUAAAACUGGAGAAUUAAUUUUCUUCCUGUUCUUUUGUUUUGCUGAGUUAUUUUGUCAGCACCCCCCACCUAUAAUCAGAUUUGGCAAUGUAAUAAGAAUGGGACCAGAGAGGCAGGGAACUGACAAUCAAAAAGACUUUUAGUUUCACCAGUGCUGCCAAUUUGUUCUGCAGCAGCCUCAGCUCAUCUCUGCCUCUGCUUCUUUAUCUGUAAAAUGGUUCUGGGAUUACUCCCCUGCAUCUGUUACCAGGUAGUGCAGAGCUCUGAAUGUGUUAAAUGCAACGUUAAGUGUUGAUAACUGAUUUAAUUAGGAAACAUAACCCUUGCCCCGAGCAGCUUGCCAUCUCCAGCCUCUUCUUUAAAUCUGUUAUUUUAUUAGACUUUUUUUUAGUUCCCCAGUCUCCCUAUUAAGUAGACUGCUUUCCCAUUUUAUUUUUCCUUUAUUGUAAACACAGCAGCAGAAUCCUUUGUUAG